GACAGAGGGGGCAAGCGUUGCUCGGAAUCACUGGGCGUAAAGCGCGUGUAGGCGGCUUUGCAAGUCGGGUGUGAAAGCCCUCAGCUCAACUGAGGAAGUGCGCCCGAAACUGCAGAGCUUGAGUGCCGGAGAGGGUGGCGGAAUUCCCCAAGUAGAGGUGAAAUUCGUAGAUAUGGGGGAGGAACACCGGUGGCGAAGGCGGCCACCUGGACGGUAACUGACGCUGAGACGCGAAAGCGUGGGGAGCAAACAGG
rnacentral:rRNA from 1 species